rnacentral:rRNA from 1 species
UACGAGGAGGUGCAAGCGUUUGUUCGGAAUCACUGGGCGUAAAGCGCACGUAGGCGGGCGUGUCAGUCAGGGGUGAAAUCCCGGGAGCUCAACUCCGGAACUGCCUCUGAUACAGCACGUCUUGAGUUCGAGAGAGGUGGGUGGAAUUCCUAGUGUAGAGGUGAAAUUCGUAGAUAUUAGGAAGAACACCGGUGGCGAAGGCGGCCCACUGGCUCGAUACUGACGCUGAGGUGCGAAAGCGUGGGGAGCAAACAGG